CAUGGUACUACUAGGAAAAGGGCUUUCAACAGCUCCUGGUAUAAGGACAAUUCAUGGCUUGAAUAUUCUACAAUCCUCAGAUGCCACCACUGUACAGAAGCCACUUGACAGCUGACAUUUGAUCUUCAACACUCAACAAUACAAGAGGCAGCAAAGCACACUGAUUCAUCCAGCUUCUGUAUGAAAGAUGACUCCCAACAAUCAAUGGAGCUGUCUACACAAAGUCAGGUCAGGCUUUAUUUAUCCUAAGCCUCGGUUAUUUCUGUAUUAAAUAAUAAACUCAAGACAGGUACAAAAUGAAAAUACAUGAGUAACUCUGUUGCUUUAUGAAUCGUACAUGUCUUAAAUAAAUACAUAUUAAAGUUAUACCCUUAUGUAAAUUAAUGUAAACUAUUCACAAAACAUACUGUAUAUUUGUACAUGAUGCCUGGACAAAGUCAAUGCCUCUUCUGGCUGCUCAAAACCUCAAAGAUUUGUCUUCUUUAUGGUACGUACACAUAUUGACAUCUUGAUAACACAUACUUCUAAUCAAAAACUUCAGUAGCCCCUUAUCCCAUGAAUUAAGAUAUCAUUGUUUCAGAACCUGAAUUCACAGUACAAAAAUAUACUAAGCCUUCAUGAAUUCACCAUCAGUACUAUCUACAGUUUGAUCAUCAUUAAGUAUAUGAUCAGCAGUAGACUUACGACAGUCUUGGAUAUGUCAAACACAUUUUGAGUCCAUCCACUCUCUUCAUCACCUUUACAAAUCAAUUUGGCACUUAGGCACUAGAACACUAUACUAGCACACCUCAUAAACAUAAAACAAUGAAGUAAUGAACCGUUGAAGCGUUUAGCUAUUUGUGUAAUUUAUUACAUCCUGUGGAAGGUCCACCACCUUGUGAGAAAGUUUCCUCUGAAACAGAUGAGUUGCACAAUAUCGC
rnacentral:lncRNA from 1 species